GUUCCACUGGUGUUUUGAUGUCAGCAGUCCAACAUGAACUUUAAAUUGGCGUCCAUAAUUGUUCGCAGUCAACUUAGAAAAACAGAUGUAUUCUGUGAUGCUGUGCACUGACUUCCUGUACUUCCAAAAAAAAAAGACUUUUUUGAAAAGUUCCUCAGUCCAGC